CUACACAAAUUGCUCAACUCUCAUUUACUGAGGAGAGAGUGGUGAUGAUUUUAAAAACUGAGUAUU
rnacentral:snoRNA from 1 species